ACGUAUUUAGUAUAUAAAUUAUAUCUAGCUUCCAACUAGAAGAUCUUGAAUAAUCAAGAACACGUA
rnacentral:tRNA from 1 species